AUAAUUCUAACAAAAAACAUCAAUACAUAUUGUAGAGUCAUGUUAGGUAAAAGUUGAAUUUGGUAGUAUUUGUUUCUAUUGGGUCUUCUUGUCAUAUCUGUAGUCUCUAUGCUACCUCCAUAUACGGCUUAUUAGUACUUGAUCCCAAAAUAGGUAGUCAUGUGUUGAUUGUGGUGGAGGAAAGUGGAAGAGGCAAAUCAUCAGAGUGUCAUUUACAAUAAUGCUGCUGUUUAUUUUAUUUGUAUGGUACAGUCUUAGUAAAAUUGGAAGUGAUGCUGGUUCUUGUCCAAAGGGAUAUGCCUGGACUUGAUGCUUGCCACUUGUAAAAUAGAAUGCCAUUCGAUGAGUUGGCGUCACAGUGAUAGAUGUGGACCAUAUACGGGUCUACUCAUAAAUGAUGGGACUGAUGAGUUCCUCAUAAAACGCCUCAAAAUUUGUGAAAAUGUGUUAAUUGCACUACUAACCUUCUGAUUUACAUUUAGCAAACUUGGGCUGCAUCAAUAAAAGCAAAAUUUGAAAUGAUGGGUGAUGGGUUCCAGGUUUCAUUGGAGGGCCACCUUAACUGUGGGAAAGGUAUCUAGGAGAUGUGCACAGUCUACAGUAUGUGUAGAGGAAUGUUGCGUACAUGUAAUGCCUGAGUCCAGCUCCAAAUUAUACAUUUGAAAGACCAUGGUCAUUUAGAGUAUAGGGGGAGAGGCAUUUAAAAGUGUAUUGUAUGAGUAAAUUUUUGAAGGCACAGUAAAUGAUGCCCGUUAUUUAAACUUGGCUCAGCUUUGUUGAGAAUGUGUUAAAAGGGUACACUUCUCCCUCCCAUGCUGUAUGUUACUGUGGUAGGUCUUUUUCAAAUGGGUGCACUGUUUGUGUGUCAUUGUAUAUCAUAUGUUUUACUCUGUAUUAUUCUUGUGGAACAGCAAAAUGUAUUACUUCUGGUUCGGGUGCGGGCUAUCAAUGUGCGUUGCAGCUAAUUUGCAGCUGCCCUAUCCACUACUGUCUUGAUAAUUGUGGAAAAGGUAUCUGGGAGAUGUGCACAGUCUUCAUAUGUGCCAAGUGAUGUGUUACGUUCACUUAAUGCUUUAGUCCAGUGCUGAAUUAUUAAUUUAUUUGAAAGACCAUGGGGAGAGGCAUUUAAAAGUGUGUGUUAUGAGUAAAUUAUAUGUAAUUAAUAAGUUGAUGAUUGUUUAGUAAUAAAUGAAAGCAAGCUUUAAAAAGAUAGUGCUAAUUGUACCGUUUAAUAUGAUUGCAGGAGCACGGACCAGAAAUGUUCAUGACAUAAGCCAAGAAGUCAAUGGAGUCAUUUUACCUUAAAGAAUAGAUGAACUUUCUGCUUGUGACAUCAUAUCAAAAGUAUACUGCUUUCCUUCGGCUUUCACUUUGUGGUGAGAGUAUACUGAUGAGUUCUGGGACCAAACUUCUGUCAUUAUGUGAAAAUGACUGAUAAUAGCUUAGGUGCUGAAUCUUCUGUAUCCACAAUGCAACAAUGAAAGGUGAUUCCCAUCAAAAGAAGAAUGGCAAGAGUCCUUUAUUGGUUGUAGAAGACUGAGUAUGAAUGGGACUCCAUAUUUUGAAGGACAAAUUGAAUUUGGAUGUAGAUGUUAGUUUUCCUUUGGAGAUUGAUGAGGAUGGUCUCUCCGUACAGAGGGCAAACUUUAAUUGUCAGACUACAAUGCUUGGAUCGUUUCACAUGGAAGACCUUCCACUAGUUGCAUCCGUGCUUGACAUCAGCUAAGCCACCCAUUGUUGUAAUCCAAUGUAUACUGAGUUGGCAUCACAGUAUUCAGCAUAAGAAAUGGCCCCUUUUUCUCAUAAUCACAUGAUCGAAUCUGCGGGCCUUUGCGGUCGGUCGCUGCGCUUCGGAUCGGGCUGCCUGGCCGAGCUGACCACGCCUCCAAAUGCAAGUUUUGCCCGACGACGACGCCACCAGCCCGCCUCAUCUUGACGUGGGUCUCGAAGAGUGCACCGUUUGACCCACGGCACAAGGGUUUGCACCGGUUUGCACGUUUGACCCACGGCAAAGGGUUUGCUGACUCCACAGCUUGAACGGAACUGCUCCGCUAAACACUUCCACAAUGAGGGUGUCCCCAUCCCUACCACCACCGCCGGCCCUCGGGAAAAUACCAGGUGGCUGAUUAACCCCACACACUUUUUUGUACUAUGCAACCCGCCCGCACGGCU